rnacentral:rRNA from 1 species
GGUGCUUCGGUACUGACCUUAGCGGCGGACGGGUGAGUAAUGCUUAGGAAUCUGCCUAUUAGUGGGGGACAACAUCUCGAAAGGGAUGCUAAUACCGCAUACGUCCUACGGGAGAAAGCAGGGGAUCACUUGUGACCUUGCGCUAAUAGAUGAGCCUAAGUCGGAUUAGCUAGUUGGUGGGGUAAAGGCCUACCAAGGCGACGAUCUGUAGCGGGUCUGAGAGGAUGAUCCGCCACACUGGGACUGAGACACGGCCCAGACUCCUACGGGAGGCAGCAGUGGGGAAUAUUGGACAAUGGGGGGAACCCUGAUCCAGCCAUGCCGCGUGUGUGAAGAAGGCCUUAUGGUUGUAAAGCACUUUAAGCGAGGAGGAGGCUCUUUUGGUUAAUACCCAAGAUGAGUGGACGUUACUCGCAGAAUAAGCACCGGCUAACUCUGUGCCAGCAGCCGCGGUAAUACAGAGGGUGCAAGCGUUAAUCGGAUUUACUGGGCGUAAAGCGCGCGUAGGCGGCCAAUUAAGUCAAAUGUGAAAUCCCCGAGCUUAACUUGGGAAUUGCAUUCGAUACUGGUUGGCUAGAGUGUGGGAGAGGAUGGUAGAAUUCCAGGUGUAGCGGUGAAAUGCGUAGAGAUCUGGAGGAAUACCGAUGGCGAAGGCAGCCAUCUGGCCUAACACUGACGCUGAGGUGCGAAAGCAUGGGGAGCAAACAGGAUUAGAUACCCUGGUAGUCCAUGCCGUAAACGAUGUCUACUAGCCGUUGGGGCCUUUGAGGCUUUAGUGGCGCAGCUAACGCGAUAAGUAGACCGCCUGGGGAGUACGGUCGCAAGACUAAAACUCAAAUGAAUUGACGGGGGCCCGCACAAGCGGUGGAGCAUGUGGUUUAAUUCGAUGCAACGCGAAGAACCUUACCUGGGCCUUGACAUAGUAGAAACUUUCCAGAGAUGGAUUGGUGCCUUC